rnacentral:rRNA from 1 species
CGAACGGGUGAGUAACACGUAGGUGAUCUAUCUUUGGACCUGGGAUAGCCUGUGGAAACACAGGGUAAUACCGGAUACGACCUUAUGGUUAAUACCAUGAGGGGAAAGUCGCUUAGGCGACGUCCUUAGCUGAGCCUGCGGCUCACUAGUUAGUUGGUAGGGUAACGGCCUACCAAGGCGACGAUGAGUAGCCGGCCUGAGAGGGUGAUCGGCCACACUGGGACUGAGACACGGCCCAG